rnacentral:lncRNA from 1 species
AACCGUAAACAUUUUUUUUUUCUUUUUUUCCAGAUAGAGCCACCAUAUUGAAUAUUCCAUCCCCAUAAACAAAUAAUAAUAAUAUUUCGAAGUGGGUAUGGUCCCUUUUGUAUGUUUUAUUUUUCAUAUACUUCAAAGAUUGUUAUCAUGGACUCUUUACUUGUUGCUGCUUGUCUCUUCUUUUUCAAGUCCCUAUUUCUUUUCUUUUCACAGGAAAAUGACUUUAAAACAUUGGGGGGAAAAAAAAAGCUUGGGAUUUUUUUGCUUAAACAAUUCAAAUAAUAUCUGUCACAGAGUUAGAAGUGGGUAUGUGGGAAUAUAAGCACAGCCUACAUGUGUGCCAAUUAGAACUACUUGCAACAUCAUGAUCAUCAAGACUAUAAUUGAAUCAUGAAGUGAAUAAAUAUAAUUUAUUUCUAUUUUGUUUGUUGGGAAGCUAUAUGAUAAAUGAUGUGGGAAUUUGUUGUUACAAAAGGAAAAGGAAGGAGACCCCACUUUUAAAUCUUCACCAAUUGGGUUGAUGAGCUAUAUCCCGUACAUGGGCCACAACCCACAUUGAUCUAUUUACAACCUAAAAGUUUUUAUUAUUUUCUAACAAUCUCAAAUUACACACACAAAAAAAAAAAAAAAAAAAACAAUCUAUUUAUAAAAAAAAAAAAUCAUAAAUGUCAUAUUUGUCACGUACCAUCAAAAUGGUACAAUCCUAAUUAAAGAAUCAAUUCAAGAUUGGGAGACAAUUUUUUAAAAAAAGUUCAAAAUUUUUUAAGCUUAAAGACAGUGUCAAAUAAAAAUGAUCUUAACUUCACCAACUGGCAUUGUUAAUAAUAAAUUUGAGUGUCGUUAGUCCAUUAUUCAAAUUCUUUUACUUGCUAAUUUACAUUAUUCUGUAACUAUAAAGUUACAUUUGUGCAUAUCUUACUUGCUUUAGUCGUAAGAACAAAAAAAAAAAAAGGUUAUUAUUCCAAACUUUUCAAGUUUUAUUGAAACAAUCUGAUUAAGAUACUUCACAAACACAGAUGGAAUAAUUUAUGUCAUUUCUUGAGAAAGCAACACAAAAAAUUAUUCUAUUUAUCUAUCUUAUCACCACCUUUUUCCUACUAGAAACUAACAUUCCUUUUUUUUCUUUUUUUCUUUUUUGCAAUAUAUAACACAUAAAGUUUACGAUUUCUCCGGCCAAAAUUAUUUUCAAUACUUUGCCUUCAAAGUUCUUCAUUACAAGUAGGUUAAAUUUUUAAUUUCAGAACUUGAACCAAUACCCCCAAUCAUAUAUCAGAGAGGGAAUUUCUAUUUUAUCGGUGACAUUAUCAUAAAUUCAUAUACACAUAUUUUAAGGAGGAAUUAAGUUCUUUGUCGUAAAGUUUGGCGAAAAUAUGCUCUUUAUGCACGCUUUCGAAGUAGAGCAAGUACGCCUGAAUGGCAUUAAGAAUUCGUUACAAAUUAAAUAAAGUCAAACAAGUGAAAAUGAAGUAAAUGGUUAAAAAUUUUAUUAAUUAAACAUACAUGAGACCUAGUCCUAAUUCCACUGGUUAGUUGGAUAGCCUUAUCAAAUCUUUAUUUCUACAAAUAUAUUAGAAUUUGUGGUCUAUUCAAAAUUUAUUGGGACUCUAGCUAUAUACAUUUGUCGUAUAGGCCAAAAAUCUAUUAAGAUUAGUUCAGAAAUCUAGGCUUACUAACCAUAUUGAUAGAAAGACCUAUAUACACACGCGCGCGCGCUCGCACAUAUUACCUUGAACUGAUCAUUGCCUUCAAUAUUGUUGAUAGUAUUACCUCUGUUGAACUACAAUCCCGAUUAAAAUAUAAUGACAUUACAUAUACGGGAAUAUAUGUCACUAAAUAAAGUGUUAAGAUUAUUUUUAACUUAUUUUGAGAAUACAUGUGAGACUUCUAACAUUAUGUUUCAAUGUGCCAUUACAUAAUCGCCUCUGUUAAACUACAAUCUCAAUUAAAAUAUAAUAACAUUACAUAUACGGGAAUAUGUGUCACUAAAUAGAGUGUUAAGAUUAUCUUUGACUUGUUUUGAGAAUAUAUAUGAGAUUUCCAACAUUAUGUUUGUAAUGUAAAAAGUUACAAUGUGCAUCAAACCUCAAAAAGGGUGGGACCGUGAUGUAAAAAUUAAAAUGUGCCUUGGCCACAGAAGCCCUAUGUUUUCUUUUAUCAUUAAGUCAUUAUGAAUUAUUUUUACAACUAGGCUCUAUUACAUUUUUUUCUCUUAUUUUCACAUUUGACACUCUUAUUUCUUACUCUCUACAUACUUUCCCCUCCACUAGUCAAUUUAAGAACACCGCUCCUCACUCUUGACAAAAUUUGAACAUGUAAAAUACGAUAUAUUGAACUUCAAAGUUAACAGUAUGACACUUCAUGUUACGACAAAGCAAUUCGAUGGCGUUACUAUUGCAAUCAAUGACCCUAAAUCAAAAUUCGCACUUAAUAUCUAAGCUUGAUGACCACUCAAAAAAAAAAAAAAAAAAGAGGGUAAGAGACAAAAGAAGAGUCGCUUUUAAUAUGGACCAUAUCUUAAUUAGCUACUAAAAGAAAAUAAAAAAUAAAAAAUAAAAAAAAAGGAAGAGAGGGGGGGGGGGGGGGGGGUGUCUGGCUUGCUUCUGUGCUCCACCACUAUUUGAUUCUUUUUCUUUACUGGAACGCCCUCUCCAAUACGCAACCAUUAUUGGCAUUUUUUUUUCCCACCUCUCUCCUUUUUCAUUUUUUUCUUUUGAGGUGAAGACUUGGGCUACAAUUGCCUACCUGUGACCCCACAGUUAGACCAAGACACGCUUAUUUGCAAGAGCAUACGUACAAAAUGAUUCUCAAUUAUGUACUGCUACUGAAUGGUGAUUGAUCUUCACCAAAAAGUUACGCACGUUGAAUUAUAAGAUCUCAUCUCAUUUUGG